UACGUAGGGUGCGAGCGUUGUCCGGAAUUAUUGGGCGUAAAGAGCUCGUAGGCGGUCUGUCGCGUCGAUCGUGAAAACUUGGGGCUUAACCCUGAGCUUGCGGUCGAUACGGGCAUGACUGGAGUUCGGCAGGGGAGACUGGAAUUCCUGGUGUAGCGGUGAAAUGCGCGAUAUCAGGAGGAACACCGGUGGCGAAGGCGGGUCUCUGGGCCGAUACUGACGCUGAGGCACGAAAGCGUGGGGAGCAAACAGGG
rnacentral:rRNA from 1 species